UCCCCGAUUUCCGGGGCAGUCUCCCUAGAGUUCCCGGCCGAACCGCUGGCAACGCGAAGAACCUUACCUGGGCUUGACAUGCAGGGUAAAGCGGGCGAAAGCCCGUGUCCGUAAGGGGCUAGCACAGGUGCUGCAUGGCUGUCGUCAGCUCGUGCCGUGAGGUGUUGGCUUAAGUGCCGCAACGAGCGCAACCCCUGCUCUUAGUUGCCAGCGGGUAAUGCCGGGGACUCUAAGAGGACUGCCGGGGACAACUCGGAGGAAGGUGGGGAUGACGUGCGGAAUGUCGAUA
rnacentral:misc_RNA from 1 species